AUCAUGCUACUGAUCUUUGACUUGACAGCUUCCGUUAUAGUAUCAAGUUCGUAGAGCGCUUCCAAUCCACUAAAAUUCCCCAAUGUUGUCACAUAACCGACGCCACGACAGUUCUCGUUCAUUUCAACCUUCACCGAGUAUUGCUGCGUCCCCCGUUCACAUCUCCGUCCGAUGCGGCAAGAACGAGCUCAAGCAGCCAGUCAGCCCAAUCAGGCUACCGGGCUGCAGGACGAGCAUUCGCAUUUACAGCCACAUCUGGAGACCAUGGUAGAAUCGAGGCACUUAAUAUAUCAGCAUUUCCAGCAAAAAUGCCUCCCCGCGUCGUUCCGGAGGGAAGAGGGAACGUCCAUUUUUCACGGGAAUCUACGGGAUGAAAGCAUGGACGUUUGCUUUUGAAGACAGGGUCCAGGAGAUGGGGCUUUUGCUGUUUAUGUUCCCACAUCCCCAUUGAUUUUGCCCUUCGUUUUGUGUGCUUUCUUUUACAUACGUGUAUCAGUCUUUGGAGUCCGAAAAGUGGAGCAAAUUGCUGCUUUCCGGGCCUCCGUGGGCUAAAGGGGGUAUUACUCAGCGGAACGAUCCCCCGGACACUGAGUCAUUUUGGUUAAAGGUUAUUGGUGAUGUCCCGUAGCGUGCGGCGGAGAUGCCUCGUUGUAUGAGUGUUCCAGUGGUUUGUCAAGGGAAAUGGGAUUACGAAAGGAAGGGGAGCAAUCAAUAUGAACUUGAUGGUGGACUUCCUGAUACCAUAACUAUAUGGCGGGAUAAUGGUGAUGCAUGUUGCUUCCCGAUCACCUUUCGUUAGUUUACAGCAUGCACCGCUAGGCAAAAGAAAAUAAUAUUGAAGUAUUUUAUUA